rnacentral:rRNA from 1 species
GCAGCAUUAGGGGGGUGCUUUAUACAUGCAAGUCGAGCGGACAGAAGGGAGCUUGCUCCCGGAUGUUAGCGGCGGACGGGUGAGUAACACGUGGGUAACCUGCCUGUAAGACUGGGAUAACUCCGGGAAACCGGAGCUAAUACCGGAUAGUUCCUUGAACCGCAUGGUUCAAGGAUGAAAGACGGUUUCGGCUGUCACUUACAGAUGGACCCGCGGCGCAUUAGCUAGUUGGUGGGGUAAUGGCUCACCAAGGCGACGAUGCGUAGCCGACCUGAGAGGGUGAUCGGCCACACUGGGACUGAGACACGGCCCAGACUCCUACGGGAGGCAGCAGUAGGGAAUCUUCCGCAAUGGACGAAAGUCUGACGGAGCAACGCCGCGUGAGUGAUGAAGGUUUUCGGAUCGUAAAGCUCUGUUGUUAGGGAAGAACAAGUGCGAGAGUAACUGCUCGCACCUUGACGGUACCUAACCAGAAAGCCACGGCUAACUACGUGCCAGCAGCCGCGGUAAUACGUAGGUGGCAAGCGUUGUCCGGAAUUAUUGGGCGUAAAGGGCUCGCAGGCGGUUUCUUAAGUCUGAUGUGAAAGCCCCCGGCUCAACCGGGGAGGGUCAUUGGAAACUGGGAAACUUGAGUGCAGAAGAGGAGAGUGGAAUUCCACGUGUAGCGGUGAAAUGCGUAGAGAUGUGGAGGAACACCAGUGGCGAAGGCGACUCUCUGGUCUGUAACUGACGCUGAGGAGCGAAAGCGUGGGGAGCGAACAGGAUUAGAUACCCUGGUAGUCCACGCCGUAAACGAUGAGUGCUAAGUGUUAGGGGGUUUCCGCCCCUUAGUGCUGCAGCUAACGCAUUAAGCACUCCGCCUGGGGAGUACGGUCGCAAGACUGAAACUCAAAGGAAUUGACGGGGGCCCGCACAAGCGGUGGAGCAUGUGGUUUAAUUCGAAGCAACGCGAAGAACCUUACCAGGUCUUGACAUCCUCUGACAACCCUAGAGAUAGGGCUUUCCCUUCGGGGACAGAGUGACAGGUGGUGCAUGGUUGUCGUCAGCUCGUGUCGUGAGAUGUUGGGUUAAGUCCCGCAACGAGCGCAACCCUUGAUCUUAGUUGCCAGCAUUCAGUUGGGCACUCUAAGGUGACUGCCGGUGACAAACCGGAGGAAGGUGGGGAUGACGUCAAAUCAUCAUGCCCCUUAUGACCUGGGCUACACACGUGCUACAAUGGACAGAACAAAGGGCUGCAAGACCGCAAGGUUUAGCCAAUCCCAUAAAUCUGUUCUCAGUUCGGAUCGCAGUCUGCAACUCGACUGCGUGAAGCUGGAAUCGCUAGUAAUCGCGGAUCAGCAUGCCGCGGUGAAUACGUUCCCGGGCCUUGUACACACCGCCCGUCACACCACGAGAGUUUGCAACACCCGAAGUCGGUGAGGUAACCUUUAUGGAGCCAGCCGCUGAAAGGUGGUCCCCAUGUG